CCCAAGGUUCUAUACUUGGUCCCCUAUUGUUUGUACUAUUUAUAAAUGACCUUCCCUUAUGCAUUGAAAAUUGUGAAACAGACCUAUAUGCUGAUGACACCACUCUUCAUAAAUCUGGGAAAAACAUAGAAAACAUACAUGAUGAUGUUCAAGAAGAUUUAUACAGGGUUGAAGAGUGGUGUAAAAUGAACAACAUGUUCAUUAAUGCAAAUAAAACAAAAUGUUUGGUUACUGGAACAAAACAGAAACUAUCAAUUCAGACCUGUCAACCAAACUUGAUAAUAAACUCAAAAGUAUUACAAAAUUCUUCAUGUGAAAAAUUAUUAGGUGUUAAAAUUGACAACACACUUAACUGGAAAAAUCAAAUUGACCAAGUUUGUGCUAAUAUAUCAUCCAGAAUAUACCUUCUUUCUAAAAUAAAGAAAUUUUUAGAUAUAAAUGCAAGGAAAACAUAUUACAAUGGGUAUAUUCUUCCCUUAAUUGAUUACUGCUGUAUUAUUUGGGGUGAAUGUAAAAAUGAAGGGAUAACAAGAAUUUUAAAACUCCAAAAAAGGGCAGCAAGAUUAAUUCUAGAUGCAGAUCCUUUAUCCCCCUCAGCCCCCUUAUUUAAAAAACUUGGGUGGAUGACAGUUGACAAUAGAAUAAAAUACCACAAAUAUUUACUUCUAUAUAAAUGUAUGCAUAUGGAAGCACCAAUGUACCUAGUUCAAAAGUUUAAACUGAAAUCAGAUAAUAAUCCUUACUCCUUAAGAGGCGUCACUCAAGGUAAUCUGAUAGUUCCUAAGCCAAAAGCUGAACUAUUUAAGAAAUCCUUUGCUUAUUCUGGAUCAGUAUUAUGGAAUGGACUACCACACACAAUGCGUAAAGCUCAAAACACUUUUACUUUUAAGCAAAGUAUCAAGAAGUACCUAACACAACCCUGAUAAGAAAUGUUUGCUACAAUGUAUUUGUAUAUUUUUUAUUUUUUUAUUUUCAUUUGAUUUUUGACUACAUGUAUACAUCUUAAACAGCAUUAUAUCUUAUGUUAAUAACAAUACAUUGAACUACAUGAGUGUAAAUUAACUAUGUGUAAAUUAAC
rnacentral:lncRNA from 1 species